GGGGAUACCUAUAAAGAUUGGUAUGCUUAUUUUAUCAAAUAAGGGCAUUAAAUAUUAACUACUCAUUACCAUUAUCAUUUUAUAUAAGAUGAUUUGUCAGUGUCCCAGGGAUAAUGAUAUAAUUAAUAGCCAUCUAAUGGCAUAUAUUUAGCCGGAAAAAAAAAGCAGCUCUAGAUAUUUUUUUCAUAUAAGCCCUCAACUGUGAAAACUUCAUUGGGGGAACCCCUGAGCUACAGGACCUAGGAUCCAGUGACUGAUCUUUCUGCUUCCUAGUGUGACUCUGUCCCGAACUUUCAGGAAUUCAUUAUUAGAGAGCUCCUGCACUCUAGGCACAUCUUCCUUAAUUAAAAGAUUGGGUAGGGGCUGGAGAGCUGUCUUGGCUGUUAAGAGUAGUAGCAGCUCUUUUAGAGGAUCCAGGUUCAAGUCCCAGAAUUCACAUGGCAGCUCACAACCAUCUGUAACCAGUUCCAGAGAAUGGAACACCCUCUAAUGGCCUCUGUGGCUAUGAGGCAUGCCUGUGGGGCAGAGGCAUACAUACAAGCAGACACUCAUAUAUAAAACAGUGAGAAAAUGUUGAGUAGUAGGUAGUAGAGUUAUGGUAGAGUUCUUUUAUUCCUCCUGUACUGGCAAAGGAUGCAGGAAGUUGUAAAGGGAAAGUUUGGGGGAGCAGCACAGCAGACAUCUGAACCAUCAAAGGCUAUUUAGGGGAAAUCUCGACAUUUGACACCAUAGAGUAAAUUUUCCUUUAUUUUUUUUUUCUGUGCAUUCUUUUGGAGACAGAGUUCUGUGGCCCAGGCUGGUCUCAAACUCCCUAUGUUACAAAGGGUGUGACUUUGAAUGACUGAUCCUCCUGACUCUAACUUCCCAAGUGCUGCCAUUACAGGCCUGAUUUCACAUUUCAUGUCUGAUUUCACAUUUCUUUUUCUUGUAAACUCAGGAGGUAUGCCACAGUUCUAUUUUUCCCAUCAAUUCCUAAUUUGCCCUUUAGAGUUUUAAUGAACUCUCCUCCAAUAGGGGUGAUCUCUCACAUACUCAAUAUUGUACUAUGUCUGAAAGGCAGUUUCAACAAUCAUUUUUGUAGUAUGGUAACUAAGACAUUUAUUUGCAUGCUCACUAGCCACGUUUUACUUUGUUUCAGAGAAUUGCUUUGGUAAAAAAGAAUAAAUCAAAACCUUGUUUCCUCUAGGAGCAGACUGUGGCUUCAAGGUACUAACCCAAACUGGCAAGGGGAGCAUCGAGAGCAAAUGCUAUCUAUUAAGAUGUAAAUUCAGCAAUGUAGUACUGAUAAUUGACUUAUUGAGCAGACUUUUCUCGGUGUUAGAUAUAUAUCUAUAUCUAUAUACAACACAACAACCCUAUGACAUACGUUUUUAUUAUUAUUGUUUUCAGAAAAUGGAGGCAGAGAAAGAUUGAAUUACUUUCCCAGAGCCACGACUAGUAAGUGAUAGUCAAGCACUGAAUCCGGAGCCAUGAUUCAACUUUAGAUGAUCUAAUUACAGAGGGUUCCUUUUUUGACUGUAAAUCCUUUUGAAAAUGGGUAGUAUACACACUUUGAAACUCUCAA
rnacentral:lncRNA from 1 species